GACGGAGGGUGCUAGCGUUGUUCGGAAUUACUGGGCGUAAAGGGCGCGUAGGCGGCUGCUCAAGUCGAUUGUGAAAUCUCCGGGCUUAACCCGGAAAGGUCAACCGAUACUGCGGGGCUAGAGUGCGGAAGGGGCAACUGGAAUUCUUGGUGUAGCGGUGAAAUGCGUAGAUAUCAAGAGGAACACCUGCGGCGAAGGCGGGUUGCUGGGCCGACACUGACGCUGAUGCGCGAAAGCUAGGGGAGCGAACGGG
rnacentral:rRNA from 1 species